CCUACGGGAGGCAGCAGUGGGGAAUAUUGCACAAUGGAGGAAACUCUGAUGCAGCGACGCCGCGUGGGUGAUGAAGGCCUUCGGGUUGUAAAGCUCUGUCGGCUGGGAAAAAGGUAGUCGUGUUAAUACCACGAUUGCUUGAUGGUACCAGCAAAGGAAGCACCGGCUAACCCUGUGCCAGCAGCCGCGGUAAUACAGGGGGUGCUAACGUUGUUCGGAAUUACUGGGCGUAAAGCGCGCGCAGGCGGCUAUACAAGUCAGAUGUGAAAUCUCGGGGCUUAACUCCGAAAGUGCAUUUGAAACUGUAUGGCUAGAGUACAGUAGAGGUUGGUGGAAUUCCCAGUGUAGAGGUGAAAUUCGUAGAUAUUGGGAGGAACACCGGUGGCGAAGGCGGCCAACUGGGCUGUAACUGACGCUGAGGCGCGAAAGCGUGGGGAGCAAACAGGAUUAGAUACCCUGGUAGUCCACGCCGUAAACGAUGGAUACUCGCUGUGGUUGGUAUUGACCCCGACCGUAGCCAAGCUAACGCGAUAAGUAUCCCGCCUGGGAAGUACGGUCGCCAAGGAUUAAAACUCAAAGGAAUUGACGG
rnacentral:rRNA from 1 species